GGAGGGUGCGAGCGUUGUCCGGAAUCACUGGGCGUAAAGGGCGCGUAGGUGGCCUGUGGAAGUCUGCGGUGAAAGCCCGGCGCUCAACGCCGGGUCGGCCGUGGAUACUCUCGGGCUCGAGCUUACUAGAGGCAGAUGGAAUUCCGGGUGUAGCGGUGGAAUGCGUAGAGAUCCGGAAGAACACCGGUGGCGAAGGCGGUCUGCUGGGGUAAUGCUGACACUGAUGCGCGACAGCGUGGGGAGCGAACAGGAUUAGAUACCCUGGUAGUCCACGCCGUAAACGAUGGGCACUAGAUGCUUGGGGGAGCGACCCCCUGAGUGUCGUCGCUAACGCAUUAAGUGCCCCGCCUGGGGAGUACGGCCGCAAGGCUG
rnacentral:rRNA from 1 species